GCAAAGAAAGAGCAAAACAGAGAUAUUGGGGCAACGACACUUCCCUUAAAACGGAGGAAGGCAGAACUGAACUACAGCUGUGGAGGGAAAGGCGGGCGGAAACCCACGUGAUGGAGAUACUGUGCUAAAUUCUGGGCCAUCCCGCCCAUUUGACGCUCCAUCAGCUCCAUAUGAGUGUCCAUGUGCUGCAUCUGGAGCCGAAGGGCUGCAAGCUGGCUAUCGGCGGAGGAAGACGGUGGAGGUGCCGCAGAGGACAGUCUGGGGUCCUCCCGGCCCAGUCGAGGGGGCAGAUCCACUCAAGGGGACUGUGGGCUGUGGGGUAGAGGUGGAAGGUUUGCUCUUGCCUUUGUUCUUGGGUUUGGUCAUUGGAUAUCAGUGGACAAGACAAAGGCAAAGUAAUGGUGUUCAAAAUAUGUCAACAAACAACCAACAAGGCAAAUGA
rnacentral:lncRNA from 1 species